rnacentral:rRNA from 1 species
GACGAACGCUGGCGGCAUGCUUAACACAUGCAAGUCGAACGGAAAGGCCCUGCUUUUGUGGGGUGCUCGAGUGGCGAACGGGUGAGUAACACGUGAGUAACCUGCCCUUGACUUUGGGAUAACUUCAGGAAACUGGGGCUAAUACCGGAUAGGAGCUCCUGCUGCAUGGUGGGGGUUGGAAAGUUUCGGCGGUUGGGGAUGGACUCGCAGCUUAUCAGCUUGUUGGUGGGGUAGUGGCUUACCAAGGCUUUGACGGGUAGCCGGCCUGAGAGGGUGACCGGCCACAUUGGGACUGAGAUACGGCCCAGACUCCUACGGGAGGCAGCAGUGGGGAAUAUUGCACAAUGGGCGGAAGCCUGAUGCAGCAACGCCGCGUGCGGGAUGACGGCCUUCGGGUUGUAAACCGCUUUCGCCUGUGACGAAGCGUGAGUGACGGUAAUGGGUAAAGAAGCACCGGCUAACUACGUG